CGUAGGGUGCGAGCGUUAAUCGGAAUUACUGGGCGUAAAGCGUGCGCAGGCGGUUUUGUAAGACAGAUGUGAAAUCCCCGGGCUCAACCUGGGACCUGCCAUUUGUGACUGCAAGGCUAGAGUACGGUAGAGGGGGAUGGAAUUCCGCGUGUAGCAGUGAAAUGCGUAGAUAUGCGGAGGAACACCGAUGGCGAAGGCAAUCCCCUGGACCUGUACUGACGCUCAUGCACGAAAGCGUGGGGAGCAAACAGGAUUAGAUACCCUGGUAGUCCACGCCCUAAACGAUGUCAACUGGUUGUUGGGUCUUUACUGACUCAGUAACGAAGCUAACGCGUGAAGUUGACCGCCUGGGGAGUACGGCCGCAAGGUUG
rnacentral:rRNA from 1 species